CAUCGAUUGGCAGAGCGAGGUGCUGGUCACCUCGGGCGCGACCGAGGCGCUGGGCGACUGCCUGUUCGGCCUGAUCGAGCCGGGCGACGAGGUC
rnacentral:tRNA from 1 species